GAGAGAGAGAGAGAGAGAGAGAGAGAGAGUGAGACAGAGAAAGAAUAAGGGACCAUAACAUACUUUUCCGGUUUAUGUCUAUCUAUAACCGUCGUCAUCAACAAUAAUAUAGUACGAUAUAGCAUGGAGUGUUAUGGCACGGGUGGAGCCAUCUAUCCGCCUUCAUGAAGACGACUGUCCCAACGCUACUCCUGAUAAGCAAUAGACUGGUGCUCACAAAGUGCCUAGCUAAAGAGGGAUACCCUGCACUAUUCUAUUAUUGCUAUUUAACUUGAACUUGUCAUCCUAAUAUUUGUGAAGUUUGGCAUAUAAAGUGUAACUUCUAUUAAAGAAGUGUUUCGAUUUGAAGCCGAAAAUUAAACACA
rnacentral:sRNA from 1 species